rnacentral:rRNA from 1 species
GAUGAACACUGGCGGCGUGCCUAACACAUGCAAGUCGAACGGAGUCCAGCCUUUAAGACCUUCGGGUCAAAGAGGGGAAGACUGAGUGGCGGACGGGUGAGUAACACGUGGGCAACCUGGCUCAUAGAGGGGGAUAACAGAGAGAAAUUUCUGCUAAUACCGCAUAAGCACACACUGCCGCAUGGCAGAGGGUGAAAAGAGAAUCGCUAUGAGAUGGACCCGCGUCUGAUUAGCCAGUUGGCAGGGUAAGGGCCUACCAAAGCGACGAUCAGUAGCCGAUCUGAGAGGAUGAACGGCCACAUUGGGACUGAGACACGGCCCAAACUCCUACGGGAGGCAGCAGUGGGGGAUAUUGCACAAUGGGGGGAACCCUGAUGCAGCGACGCCGCGUGAGUGAAGAAGUAUUUCGGUAUGUAAAGCUCUAUCAGCAGGGAAGAUAAUGACAGUACCUGAAUAAGAAGCCCCGGCUAACUACGUG